CCCUUCUCAGGACCGUACCUGGAGAGUUUCCAGUAUUCUACCAGUCCCGACUAAGGGAGGGAGAGUCAAGCAGAGGCCUACCCAUUCCAUUCCUAGCUCGGGCAGUGGCUAGAGAGGGGAUGGCAAUCUGCUACAAUU